AUGAAUACUAAAGGUUGGGUGAAAAUGUUUAAUGACUAUUAUUGCAACAGUGAUAUAAUUAAUUUUCAUAUAUUUUUACAAUAAUUGUUAAGUAGAAUUCUGUGGGUUGGUCUUGAAAUACAACUGAUACACUCUUUAUGAACCUGUAUUAAAUACAUUAAAACUCACGCUGUUGUGUUAAAGUUGAAACCUUCCUGGCCAAGUGUCUGCUCUCAAGACUAUUUGUUAGGUACACAGGAAAGACAUGUGCAAAGAAUGUCACUGAUGCAAGGGGCUUAUCCAGGCUUUAAUCUUAGUGAGUUCUCAACGAAGAGAAGAAAAAGUUAGAAAAUCACCAAGUAUAAUAGCUUGGGAAGGAAAAUCUAGCAGGCAAAUAGCUAGAAAGAAAUC
rnacentral:lncRNA from 1 species